GACGAACGCUGGCGGCGUGCCUAAUACAUGCAAGUCGAGCGAAUGGAUGGGAGCUUGCUCCCUGAAGUUAGCGGCGGACGGGUGAGUAACACGUGGGCAACCUGCCUGUAAGACUGGGAUAACUUCGGGAAACCGGAGCUAAUACCGGAUACAUUCUUUCUUCGCCUGAAGAAAGAUGGAAAGAUGGUUUCGGCUAUCACUUACAGAUGGGCCCGCGGCGCAUUAGCUAGUUGGUGAGGUAACGGCUCACCAAGGCAACGAUGCGUAGCCGACCUGAGAGGGUGAUCGGCCACACUGGGACUGAGACACGGCCCAGACUCCUACGGGAGGCAGCAGUAGGGAAUCUUCCGCAAUGGACGAAAGUCUGACGGAGCAACGCCGCGUGAGCGAAGAAGGCCUUCGGGUCGUAAAGCUCUGUUGUUAGGGAAGAACAAGUACCAGAGUAACUGCUGGUACCUUGACGGUACCUAACCAGAAAGCCACGGCUAACUACGUGCCAGCCGCCGCGGUAAUAC
rnacentral:rRNA from 1 species